GCCAACGGCCAUACCAUGUUGAAUACACCGGUUCUCGUCCGAUCACCGAAGUUAAACAACAGCGGGCGUGGUUAGUACUUGAUGGGUGACCACCUGGGAACACCACGUGCUGUUGGGC
rnacentral:rRNA from 1 species